GACCUGCCGCCCAGAGGAAUUAAGUGACUUUCCAGAAGUCAGGCAGGGAAUGACAGCUCAAAUGUCUGGCUGCAGCUUUCUGACUAGUCCCAUUCUCUUCCUCUGCCCUAUUCCCAUGAUACCAAGAGCAGGAGCACAGACUCCCAGAGAAGAGAGGAGUCACAAACUCAGGCAGAAAGGAUCCAAGAAGCCCUGUGGUUAACCCCUGCCUCCAGGGGAGAUGAGGCUAAAAUCCUGUGGAUCUGGCUGGCUCCUGACAUUGUAGCAGAGACGUCUCUGACAGGAGGAAGGAGGGAGUAAUAAUUUUUCUGGUUACACGAUUGCAAGUUGAGAGGUUUUUUCCUCAGUGUGAUUCCACUGCCUCUGGCCUCCGUCGUCCGCUGGGAAGUCCACGGUCAGUCUGAAGGCCCCGCCUUGGCAGCUGGAACUCACCUCGCAGCGGCCCUGUUUACUCACCUACCAGCUGCCUUCCUUAGAACCAGUUUUGUUCCUGUUCAGAAGGAAACCAGGCAGAGUUGGGAAAAUAUUUCCUCAGCCAGCUCUGCAGCCCCACUGUCUGGCGGAGGCCAUCUGGCCGGGAUGCACUCCGAGGGAGUAAACGCAGGAUUGCCCUCUCCCCGCACGACGGGGCAGAGAAGACGGCAGGUCCCAAGACGGGCUGCUACUGUGCUGGUUCUAACUCAUCUCCGGAAGUCCCCAGAGUCCAGCAGUGUGUUGGUGAUGUUUCACCACCGGCUCCCUGGGAGGGUGGGGGUGGGUGUUGAUCUCCAUGGACAAUUUGGAACUACCAAAAGUGAACUCACGGAACACGGAGUUAGCAAGAGAUGCACAGUAGCACUCCACUGUGCAAGAUUUCUACCAUACGGAUAUCAUAGAUGUA